rnacentral:rRNA from 1 species
AUGCGCACCUACGGACGCCACAUCACCGGCAAGGGAGUCGGACUGGUUGUUGGCCGUGAUGAUGAGAUCGACCGCGUUAUUUCCAUCCUCUGCCGCAAGACCAAGAACUGCGCCGCGCUAGUUGGCCACGCGGGGGUUGGCAAGUCUGCCAUCGCUGAGGGCCUCGCGCAGCGCAUCGCCACCGGUAAGGUACCUGCUGCACUUGAUGGGGCACGUGUUGUGGAGAUCGACCUCGGGGCCAUGGUUGCCGGGACCGUUUUGCGCGGUAUGUUUGAAGAGCGAAUGAAGAGCGUCAUAAAGCAGGCAGAGAAUGUAGGCGGCAAGAUAAUUCUCUUCAUUGAUGAGAUGCAUGUGCUUCCUCGUGCUGGUGAUAGCCACGGAAAUACAGACGCUUCCAGCUUGCUGAAGCCGGCUUUGGCCCGUGGUCGUAUCCGCUGUGUAGGUGCGACGACUUUUGAUGGUUACCGCAAUUGCAUUGAGAAGGAUCCUGCACUUGAGCGGAGAUUCCAGAAGGUGCACAUCGAGGAGCCAAGCAUGCAGGUGACAAUCGGCAUACUGCAGGGGCUAAAGCAGCAGUACGAACAGCAUCAUGGCUUGGAAAUCCAAGAUUCUGCUCUUGUUGCUGCUGCCCAGCUUGCUGCCCGCUACAUCACCGGUCGUCAAUUUCCGGAUAAGGCUAUUGAUCUGAUUGAUGAGGCGUGCACUGCCAAAAUAAAAAGGGCGAUCUCUGAAAAUUCAUUGAAGGGAGCAGCUGUUGAACCAAAUGAUGUCGCACAAGGAGCAACUGUUGAACCAAAUGAUGUUGCACAAGUUGUGAGCCUAUAG